UUAAGUAGAGGUUGCACCAUUAAUCAGUAUUAAGCGUGAUGUGUCAGGCACAGGUGAUCGUUUUUGAAAGGUGAUGGUGCCGAAGCGGCAUGGUUCCUGAGACUGUGCGGGCUGGGAGUAUGGUUAAGAGCCAUGCUACUGUCAUCGCAGGAUGGAGAGCUACGGGU
rnacentral:ncRNA from 1 species